GUGCCAGCCGCCGCGGUAAUUCCAGCUCCAAUAGCGUAUAUUAAAGUUGUUGUGGUUAGGAAAGCUCGUAGUUGAACCUUGGGCCUGGCUGGCCGGUCCGCCUCACCGUGUGCACUGGUCCGGCCGGGCCUUUCCCUCUGUGGAACCCCAUACCCUUCACUGGGCGUGGCGGGGAAACAGGACAUUUACUUUGAAAAAAUUAGAGUGCUCCAGGCAGGCCUAUGCUCGAAUACAUUAGCAUGGAAUAAUAAAAUAGGACGCGCGGUUCUAUUUUGUUGGUUUAUAGGACCGCCGUAAUGAUUAAUAGGGACAGUCGGGGGCAUCAGUAUUCAACUGUCAGAGGUGAAAUUCUUGGAUCAGUUGAAGACUAACUACUGCGAAAGCUUUUGCCAAGGGAUGUUUUCAUUAAUCAGGAACGAAAGUUAGGGGGAUCGAAGACGAUCAGAUACCGUCGUAGUCUUAACCAUAAACUAUGCCGACUAGGGAUCGGACGGUGUUAUUCAUGACCCGUUCGGCACCUUACGAGAAAUCAAAGUGCUUGGGCUCCAGGGGGAGUAUGGUCGCAAGGCUGAAACUUAAAGAAAUUGACGGAAGGGCACCACCAGGGUGGAGCCUGCGGCUUAAUUUGACUCAACACGGGGAACUCACCAGGUCGCAGACACAUAAGGAUUGACAGAUUGAGAGCUCUUUCUUGAUGUUGGUGGUGGUGGUGCAUGACCCGUUCUAAGUUGCUGGGAGUGACGUUGUCUUGCUAAUUGCGAUGACGAACGAGACUUAAUCUGCUGAUAAGCCGGCAAUGCGUACGGCAGUGCGGUUGACAUCUUAGAGGGGAGUUACGGCAUGCAGC
rnacentral:rRNA from 1 species